rfam:Schistosoma rodhaini strain Burundi genome assembly, scaffold: SROB_scaffold0002795
GCACUGCUGAAAAGUCCCACAACAGGACGAAACGGCCGUCCAGUGC